rnacentral:lncRNA from 1 species
AUUGUCCGAUUUGUUUCUUCAAGUGGAGUGACUCUACCAGGGGCAGAGUGCCCUAUCCGGAGGUGCACGGCCAAUUCUCAACCUGAAAUCAUAUUCAGAUGUUUUAAUUGCUGAAUCCGUCUUUCAUAUACCAGGGUAUAUCAGUCAAUGAAUGACAUGAUCCACCUACAAACACAAUCUAUGCUAAUUGUACACACGGAUUACCACAAAAAUUAGGAGUGCAGACUGCAGCCAGCUGACACUAGUAAUCAUAGCCCCAUGCAUCCAUUGACAUACACAGAAAAUAUGUGACAUUAGUUGCAAAAAUCAAAACCAUCUCGUCAUAAAGAACACUAAUUUCAUUUGUACCUUCUGGUCCACCCCGGC